UGCUAUUCUAGAGAUAGAAAGUUAUUUCGGCACAUCGGUGACAGGUGGUGCAUGGUUGUCGUCAGCUCGUGUCGUGAGAUGUUGGGUUAAGUCCCGCAACGAGCGCAACCCCUAUUGUUAGUUGCCAUCAUUCAGUUGGGCACUCUAGCGAGACUGCCGGUAAUAAACCGGAGGAAGGUGGGGAUGACGUCAAAUCAUCAUGCCCCUUAUGACCUGGGCUACACACGUGCUACAAUGGUUGGUACAACGAGUUGCGAGUCGGUGACGGCGAGCUAAUCUCUUAAAGCCAAUCUCAGUUCGGAUUGUAGGCUGCAACUCGCCUACAUGAGGUCGGAAUCGCUAGUAAUCGCGGAUCAGCACGCCGCGGUGAAUACGUUCCCGGGCCUU
rnacentral:rRNA from 1 species